AAUAUGAGGCGGGCUGGACCUCUCGGGGUUACAGCCUUGCUGAAUUAUUCACCCUUGUCUUUUGCGUACUUCUUGUUUCCUUGGUGGGUUCGCCCACCACUAGGACAAACAUAAACCUUUUGUAAUUGCAAUCAGCGUCAGUAACAAAUUAAUAAUUACAACUUUCAACAACGGAUCUCUUGGUUCUGGCAUCGAUGAAGAACGCAGCGAAAUGCGAUAAGUAGUGUGAAUUGCAGAAUUCAGUGAAUCAUCGAAUCUUUGAACGCACAUUGCGCCCUUUGGUAUUCCAAAGGGCAUGCCUGUUCGAGCGUCAUUUGUACCCUCAAGCUUUGCUUGGUGUUGGGCGUCUUGUCUCUAGCUUUGCUGGAGACUCGCCUUAAAGUAAUUGGCAGCCGGCCUACUGGUUUCGGAGCGCAGCACAAGUCGCACUCUCUAUCAGCAAAGGUCUAGCAUCCAUUAAGCCUUUUUUUCAACUUUUGACCUCGGAUCAGGUAGGGAUACCCGCUGAACUUAAGCAUAUCAAAGCCGGGGAGGAAA
rnacentral:rRNA from 1 species